CUCGAAGCAUGGACGGAUCUGGGGGAUUCCGUUUUGGACAUUUGAGGGUCUGGGAGGGAAAGGGAGGAGAGUUGUGCUGGACUUUAUUACUGGAUUUGCAUGGUGUGUGCCAAUACAUAUAGUCCGUCAGUCCGUCAGUCCGACAGUCAGUCAGUCAGUCAGUGAGCCAAUUAACCAAUCAACAAAUCAACCAAUCAACCAAUCAACCAAUCCAUCUGUCUACGCGAUCAGUAGACCUGAAUUCCGAGCGAGAGCGGGCGAUUGGACGGACAGGGGCUUUAACCAAUCACAGAGACUGCCCCGCCCGUGUAAUUCUCCCGGUAACACGCACACACCUCGUCUCCAAGGCAACGGUGGAAUUGUCACGGCAACCGCGCACAGUGCAGAAUUGUCUUGAGUGUUGGCUGGCGUUCUCAUUCUCCUCUGUACUCUGUGUGUCUCUCUCUACUUUCCCCCGUCUCUGCUUAUUCCUCCUCUCUCGCAGUGGAACGUUUACUCUUAUAAAUACAUUCAUGUGUCAAGAACGACCGGGCUAAAAGAAAGUGGUCGAUUCAACUUUAUUUUAUAAAGACCGUUUUUUUCUUUUUGUAACAUAGGUGAUAAUAUUUUUCGUUUUUUCUUCUUUUGUUUUUCAUUUUGUACUCCUUACUGUAGAUUUCCUAAGUACACGUUCAGAUGUAUUUCUAAGUGUUUGUGAUGAUGAAGAGGGCCAACCACGUCGGAGUGGGCGUCGGCAACGCGGACAGCUUGUGUGUGUUCGUGUGUGUGUGUGUGUGUGUGUGUGUGUUUGUGUGUGUGGGUGAGAGUAUGUGUGUGGAUGAGUGUGUGCGCUCCUAUCUAUGUGUGUAUAUGCAUGAGCAUAACAUGGUGAGUAGAUAGCAUCCCUGUGUGUGUGGGUGUGUGUGUGUGUGUGAGUUUGCGUGUGUGUGCGUGUGUGUGUGCGUGCUUGUGUGUCUGCGUGGGUGUGAUUGUGUGGGAGCAAGAUACUGUUUACUGUAGAUUUUGUUGUCCCUUUACUGUGAGCACAAAAAACGGCUAAAAUGUACCUGUAUGUACCUUACUAUAAAACAUGGCAAGUUGAGAAAAAAGAGAUGACUGUGUUU
ensembl:lncRNA